rnacentral:rRNA from 1 species
CUGAGUACGGCGGAACACGUGAAAUUCCGUCGGAAUCCGGGAGGACCAUCUCCCAAGGCUAAAUACUCCCUAGUGACCGAUAGUGAACCAGUACCGUGAGGGAAAGGUGAAAAGCACCCCGGAAGGGGAGUGAAACAGUUCCUGAAACCGUGUGCCUACAAGUAGUUAGAGCCCGUUAAUGGGUGAUAGCGUGCCUUUUGUAGAAUGAACCGGCGAGUUACGAUUUGUUGCAAGGUUAAGCGGAAAAAGCGGAGCCGUAGCGAAAGCGAGUCUGAAUAGGGCGCAUAAGUAACAGGUCGUAGACCCGAAACCAGGUGAUCUACCCAUGUCCAGGAUGAAGGUAAGGUAAUACUUACUGGAGGUCCGAACCCACGCACGUUGAAAAGUGCGGGGAUGAGGUGUGGGUAGCGGAGAAAUUCCAAUCGAACUUGGAGAUAGCUGGUUCUCUCCGAAAUAGCUUUAGGGCUAGCCUCGAGGUAAAGAGUCAUGGAGGUAGAGCACUGUUUGGACUAGGGGCCCUUCUCGGGUUACCGAAUUCAGAUAAACUCCGAAUGCCAUGUACUUAUACUCGGGAGUCAG